UACGAAGGGGGCUAGCGUUGCUCGGAAUUACUGGGCGUAAAGCGCACGUAGGCGGCUUCUUAAGUCGGUGGUGAAAUCCUGGAGCUCAACUCCAGAACUGCCUUCGAUACUGGGAAGCUCGAGUCCGGGAGAGGUGAGUGGAACUGCGAGUGUAGAGGUGAAAUUCGUAGAUAUUCGCAAGAACACCGGUGGCGAAGGCGGCGCUCUGGACCGAGACUGACGCUGAGGCGCGAAAGCGUGGGGAGCAAACAGG
rnacentral:rRNA from 1 species